UACGUAGGGUGCGAGCGUUAAUCGGAAUUACUGGGCGUAAAGCGCGCGCAGGCGGAUUGUUAAGCAAGAUGUGAAAUUCCCGGGCUUAACCUGGGAAUGGCAUUUUGAACUGGCAAUCUAGAGUGUGUCAGAGGGGGGUAGAAUUCCACGUGUAGCGGUGAAAUGCGUAGAGAUGUGGAGGAAUACCGAUGGCGAAGGCAGCGCCCUGGGAUGACACUGACGCUGAGGUGCGAAAGCGUGGGUAGCAAACAGG
rnacentral:rRNA from 1 species